ensembl:lncRNA
CCCCUAUAUUACCCAUCUAGUGCACUAGUUUAGACCAGAGCCCCCUAUUACCCAUCUAGUACACUAGUUUAGACCAGAGCCCCCUAUUACCCAUCUAGUGCACUAGUUUAGACCAGAGCCCCCUAUAUUACCCAUCUAGUGUACUAGUUUAGACCAGAGCCCCCUAUAUUACCCAUCUAGUGUACUAGUUUAGACCAGAGCCCCCUAUAUUACCCAUCUAGUACACUAGUUUAGAUGUAUUUGGGACACGGUCAGGGUUUGUGAAACGAUGUACAGUACUAUACCAACCCAUUGGUGGUGUUAUUGUAUUGUCCGGCACCACAUACAAACGACUGUAAUCCAAAAGGGUUUUUAUCUAAACCUUUUUUUCCACCUGAGAAUGAUCUCAAUGAAUUUGUUCCAACACAUUUUUAUAGAUAUGUGGAAGAACUCUAGAUGAAUGUAAUGAGCAGUCCCAAAUGGCACCCCAAUACCUAGCUAGUGCACUACUUUUGACCAGAGCCCUACUUAAUAGAGGGAAUAUGGUCCCAUUUGGGACAGCGAUACAGGAUCAAUUGAGCACAUUCCAGCUUGGUCAAUAAAAAAACAUCACCUCUCAGAAACAACGGUUUUCUUUGUUCAUUCAUUUCAUGAAUGGAUAUUUGUUUUAAAUUGGGCCAGUAAUCAAGUAGCACUGGUGACUGAUUUUGGGGCUGGAUCCAAAUAGUACCCUAUUUUUUACCAGAGUUGUAUGGGGCCUAGUAGUGUACACUAUAGGGAAUAGGGUGCCAUUUGGCUUCUUUGCCUUGCUUAAGGGCUGAUGGACAGAUUUUUCACCUAGUCGGCUCGGGGAUUCGAACCAGCGGCCCUUGGGUUACACCGUGUGUAUUAGCCUCUUCUCUCCGCCAGCCAACAGAGUAAACCCCAUGCCGAGAGUCUCUUAGAUGAUUGUGGUAGUCCGUACUGUCAGGCUACCGCAACUCCACCAGGACACCAUUGGGGUCACACUGCCUGACUUCCAGGACACCUACAACACCAGUUGUCGCAGGAAGGGCCAAGAAGAUCAUCAAGGACUUCAGCCACCUGAGCCAACGCCGCUUCCAUCACUCUGACGCCGGCAGUACAGGAACAUCAUGGCUAAAACUAACAGACUGGUCAAUAGCGUCUACCCCCAGACCAUCAGGCUGCUGAAUAGACACUACUAGCUUCUACCCCCAGACCAUCAGGCUGCUGAAUAGACACAACUAGCUUCUACCCCCAGACCACCAGGCUGCUGAAUAUAUAUAUAUAUAUAUACACUACUAGCUUCUACCCCCAGACCAUCAGGUCGGCCACCAAUUGUGCAAGUUCUCCCACUUAAAAAGAUGAGGCCUGUAAUUUUCAUCAUAGGUACACUUCAACUAUGACAGACAAAAUGACCCAAAAAAUCCAGAAAAUCAUAUUGUAGGAUUUUUAAUGAAUUUAUUUACAAAUUAUGGUGGAAAAUAAGUAUUUGGUCACCUACAAACAAGCAAGAUUUCUGUCUCUCACAGACCUGUAACUUCUUCUUUAAGAGGCUCCUCUGUCCUCCACUCGUUACCUGUAUUAAUGGCACCUGUUUGAACUUGUUAUCAGUAUAAAAGGCACCUGUCCACAACCUCAAACAGUCACACUCCAAACUCCACUGUGGUCAAGACCAAAGAGCUGUCAAAGGACACCAGAAACAAAAUUGUAGACCUGCACCAGGCUGGGAAGACUGAAUCUGCAAUAGGUAAGCAGCUUGGUUUGAAGAAAUCAACUGUGGGAAAAUUAUUAGGAAAUGGAAGACAUACAAGACCACUGAUAAUCUCCCUUGAUCUGGGGCUCCACGCAAGAUCUCACCCCGUGGGGUCAAAAUGAUCACAAGAACGGUGAGCAGAAAUCCCAGAACCACACGGGGGGACCUAGUGAAUGACCUGCAGAGAACUGGGACCAAAGUAACAAAGCCUACCAUCAGCAAGGGCAUUGAAGAUGAAACGUGGCUGGGUCUUUCAGCAUGACAAUGAUCCCCAACACACCGCCCGGGCAACGAAGGAGUGGCUUCAUAAGAAGCAUUUCAAGGUCCUAUAGUGCCCUAGCCAGUCUCCAGAUCUCAACCCCAUAGAAAAUAUUUGGAGGGAGUUGAAAGUCCGUGUUGCCCAGCAACAGCCCCAAAACAUCACUGCUCUAGAGGAGAUCUGCAUGGAGGAAUGAGCCAAAAUACCAGCAACAGUGUGUGAAAACCUUGAAGACUUACAGAAAAUGUUUGACCUUAGUCAUUGCCAUCAAAGGGUAUAUAACAAAGUAUUGAGAUAAACUUUUGUUAUUGACCAAAUACUUAUUUUCCACCAUAAUUUGCAAAUAAAUUCAUUAAAAAUCCUACAAUGUGAUUUUCUGGAUUAUUUUUCUCAUUUUGUCAGUCAUAGUUGAAGUGUACCUAUGAUGAAAAUUACAGGCCUCUCAUCUUUUUAAGUGGGAGAACUUGCACAAUUGGUGGCUGACUAAAUACCUUUUUGCCCCACUGUGUGUACCCCCCCUCAGACAUAUUACCCUUCCCCCACCCCAAUGGAUAGUAUCACGCUGCAUAGCUCAAGAAUUUCACUAAACCCUGUAAUUCCACUUGCAACCCUGUACAUGUGACUAUUAAACUAUGAUCUAACAUGCUAUACAUGUCAGAGCUCAGGCUCUGUGCUUCACUGUCUGCAUGGGUUUUGACUGACAACUUUUCUGAACUUGAGUACUGCAAGCGACAAGAAGUUGCCCUCAUCCCUCCUGCUGAUUGGUCAACAUUUGCAAAUGUUUUGUUGUCUGAGUGAGGGAAAUGCUGUAAAUUAAGAUGACUUAAUGUAUUUUGAAAGAUGAGACGUUGAGAAUUAUAAUAAAUACCGCUUUGAUGUCAUACAAGCCAAACACCUGAGUCCAAAUGUGCAAUUCACAGUUCCAAAUCCUAAUGUCAUAAACCGUGUCAGCAUUUAGGAUUAUAGCCUGGGUUGUUCUGAACACAAUGAGCCUGUUUGUCUAUUGUGAACAAAAUUUGACGCGGAACACCUGAAUGAACUCGUGACUCCUUUCUAUGUGUACUAAAAUUGCACCGUUUGUUUCUCUGAAUUUCCUUGUAAAAUACUUUUUGUAUAUGUAUAUAUAUAUGUAUAUAUAACUUAGUCGUGUUUGUAAUAGAUGAAGCCUUCAAAACGACGUGACACAGAUUGUGAUUCAUAAUGGACUGUUUCUGGAUUAAACUGAUCCUUAUUGCUAUGAUAAACUGGUUCCCCAACGGCCCAGCAAGGAGGGCUAUGACCAUACACCACUGAGGAUCCUUAUUGCUAUGAUAAACUGGUUCCCCAACGGCCCAGCAAGGAGGGCUAUGACCAUACACCACUGAGGAUCCUUAUUGCUGGUUCCCAACAUUAUAAACUGGUUCCCAACAUUAUAAACUGGUUCC